rnacentral:rRNA from 1 species
GAGUUAGCCGGGGUUUCGUUUACCUUGCUACCGUCAUUAUCUUCACAGGCGAAAGAGCUUUACGACCCUAGGGCCUUCAUCACUCACGCGGCAUGGCUAGAUCAGGCUUGCGCCCAUUGUCUAAGAUUCCCCA